NUUAAGGAUNGACGGAGGCGAAGNUAAUCAAUUGUNCANCGAAACUGCGAAUGGCUCAUUAAAUCAGUUAUCGUUUAUUUGAUAGUGCCCAUCUACAUGGAUAACCGUGGUAAUUCUAGAGCUAAUACAUGCGUAAAAGCGCGACUUCGGGAGCGCUGUAUUUAUUAGAUUAAAGACCAAUGCCCUUCGGGGCUCACUGGUGAUUCAUGAUAACUCCUCUGAUCGCACGGCCUUGCGCCGGCGACGGCUCAUUCAAAUUUCUGCCCUAUCAACUUUCGACUUUAGUGUAGUGGACUAAAGUGGUUGCAACGGGUAACGGAGGGUUAGGGCUCGACCCCGGAGAAGGAGCCUGAGAAACGGCUACUACAUCCAAGGAAGGCAGCAGGCGCGCAAAUUACCCAAUCCCGACACGGGGAGGUAGUGACAAUAAAUACUGAUACAGGGCUCUUUCGGGUCUUGUAAUCGGAAUGAGUACAAUCUAAAUCCUUUAACGAGGAGCAAUUGGAGGGCAAGUCUGGUGCCAGCAGCCGCGGUAAUUCCAGCUCCAAUAGCGUAUAUUAAAGUUGUUGUGGUUAAAAAGCUCGUAGUUGAACCUGGGCCCCGUCCCGGCCGGUCCGCCUCACCGCGUGCACUGGUUCGGGAGGGGCUUCGCACCUUGGGGGUACGCAUGCCCUUCGCUGGGCGUGCGGGGAACCAGGACUUUUACUGUGAAAAAAUUAGAGUGUUCAAAGCAGGCCUAUGCUCGAAUACAUUAGCAUGGAAUAAUGAAAUAGGACGUGCGGUUCUAUUUUGUUGGUUAUGGGACCGCCGUAAUGAUUAAUAGGGACAGUCGGGGGCGUCAGUAUUCGGUGGUCAGAGGUGAAAUUCUUGGACCCACCGAAGACUAACUACUGCGAAAGCAUUCGCCAAGGAUGUUUUCAUUAAUCAGGAACGAAAGUUAGGGGAUCGAAAACGAUCAAAUNCCGUUGUAGUCUUAACCAUAAACUAUGCCCACUAGGGAUCGGGCGAUGUUGCUUACUGACUCGCUCGGCACCUUUC
rnacentral:rRNA from 1 species